CUCUUCUCUGCUGACUACCAACGAAUACAUGCAAUUGAUUCCAAUAAUAUCUGCAGAGCAUCUGACUAGUCACAAGUACUUGACGCAGAUGUAGUUCCAGUCCUCAACAAUCAAAGGAAUGUGCUGUU